UGGGGAAUAUUGCACAAUGGGCGCAAGCCUGAUGCAGCCAUGCCGCGUGUAUGAAGAAGGCCUUCGGGUUGUAAAGUACUUUCAGCGGGGAGGAAGGCGAUAAGGUUAAUAACCUUGCCGAUUGACGUUACCCGCAGAAGAAGCACCGGCUAACUCCGUGCCAGCAGCCGCGGUAAUACGGAGGGUGCAAGCGUUAAUCGGAAUUACUGGGCGUAAAGCGCACGCAGGCGGUCUGUCAAGUCGGAUGUGAAAUCCCCGGCUCAACCGGGGAGGGUCAUUGGAAACUGGGAGACUUGAGUGCAGAAGAGGAGAGUGGAAUUCCAUGUGUAGCGGUGAAAUGCGUAGAUAUAUGGAGGAACACCAGUGGCGAAGGCGGCUCUCUGGUCUGUAACUGACGCUGAGGCUCGAAAGCGUGGGGAGCAAACAGG
rnacentral:rRNA from 1 species